GCCUGGGAUAGCUCAGUUGGUAGAGCAUGAGACUCUUGAUCUCAGGGUCCUGGGUUCAAGCCCCACAUUGGGCA